GAUGAACGCUAGCGGGAGGCCUAACACAUGCAAGCCGAGUGGUAUUUCUUCUUCGGGAGAGAGAGAGCGGCGUACGGGUGCGGAACACGUGUGCAACCUGCCUUUAUCUAGAGGAUAGCCUUUCGAAAGGAAGAUUAAUACUCUAUAAUAUAUUAAUUGGCAUCAAUUGAUAUUGAAAACUCCGGUGGAUAGAGAUGGGCACGCACAAGAUUAGCUAGUUGGUGAGGUAACGGCUCACCAAGGCAAUGAUCUUUAGGGGGCCUGAGAGGGUGAUCCCCCACACUGGUACUGAGACACGGACCAGACUCCUACGGGAGGCAGCAGUGAGGAAUAUUGGUCAAUGGGUGCAAGCCUGAACCAGCCAUCCCGCGUGAAGGAUUAAGGUCCUAUGGAUUGUAAACUUCUUUUGUAUAGGGAUAAACCUACCCUCGUGAGGGUAGCUGAAGGUACUAUACGAAUAAGCACCGGCUAACUCCGUGCCAGCAGCCGCCGUAACAC
rnacentral:rRNA from 1 species